GGAAAACCUUAAGUGAUUUUACCUUAACAUUUUGGAACCUUACUCUCUUUUACCAGAUUUUAAAAAUUCAGGCCUCCUUGCAAAAAUGCGAACACACUUCUACUUCUUGAUGGGUUGUAACAAAAGCAGAAGACUUAAUAAUUCUUUGUAUGAAAAGAUGAAAUCUGAGCACAGUUCACACAUUUGCCAAUGAUUCUUCUCUCUUGCAUGUUAUCUAUGAAUCAUCUGACACGAAACAGCUGGAGGGCCUCUCUGCUCUAAGGACGGGGUGGCCUGGCCAGGAACUGCACCCCAGCUUGUGGUCUAGUCUCUGACAGCAUUUACAUAAUACUUCUUGCAGCUAACUAAGCCUGCAGAGUGACUACCCCUCCCCUCCUGCACGCCCUGGAAUGGCCAUACUUGAGGCUGGCCCUGGCCUCAGCAGGGAGCACAGGUCUCCUGGCCGCGGACCACACCCACACAUAGGACAUUUCCGCGUCGUCAGCAGAGCUGCUGAGAGAAGUCAAGUCACACUACUGGACACUUCAUGGAUACCCAUCACAGCCUUCAUGCUCUUUGGGAAAAUCAUAAAAACAGGCCAGGACAGAGCAUGUGUGACAUAGAAGGAACCACGGCAACACCUAGUUCAACUUCCCCAUCUCGGAGAUGAGGAAGUGGAAAUUCUGAGCAAUGAAAGGACUCAUCCAAGGUUCUAAACCUUAGAACUUUCUUUUUUUUUUUUUAAGAUUUUAUUUAUUAGAGAGAGAGAGAGAGUGAAUGAGAGAGAGAGAGAGAGAGCACAAGCAGGUGGAGGGGCAGAGGGAGAGGGAGAAGCAGACUCCCCGCUGAGCAAGGAGCCCGAUGCAGGACUCCAUCUCAGGACCCUGGGAUCAUGACCUGAGCCCAAGGCAGAUGCUUAACUGACUGAACCACCCAGGAGCCCCUAAACCUUAGAGCUUUCAGUUAAAAACCUCUCUUGGAACUCCUGAAAUGGGACAGGGCAAGGUCUGCUCUGUAGCUUCUGCUUGUCUUUAGCCUGGGCAGAAACUGGUGGGGCUGCCUGAACUGAGUGUCCAUGGUCCAAUAGCCCUUAGUCUAGACAGAGGCUUCCUAUUCUUCCCCAACCCCUCCCUUGUCCAGUGGCCUGACAGAAGCCCCAGGACUCUGUAUCCAGAACCUAUGCUAUUGGGUCAAUGGCCUAGUUUGGAACCUAAUGAGACAUUAGUUUCAUCUUCACCAAAUUUCCCCCUUUUCUCUCCUUUUACUGUCUUGUAGGCUGGAGGGUGAUGUCUGUCUCUCUACUGCCCUGCACAUCCCUUGAGGGCCUCCUGGAACCCGGUUAUACAGCAGUUAUGAUUGUGGGUGGUGAAGUUAAACGGUCCAGGGUUUGAAUUCUGACUUAGCAUCUCCCUGGCUUGUGUGAUUGGCGUGAGUGACUUAAUGGAAAUCAUAGAACUUCCUUUAUAAGGUUACUGGGAAGACCCUUAACUAGUAUAGAGUUUGGCAUAUAAAAGCAUUCAGUAAAUAGUGCAUAUUAUUCUUGAAAAAGGUAUUCCAUUUACUUUGGAAAACCCUAUCCUCUGAUCUUUUUAACAUUUUCGUUGAGGUAAUUAACAUACAGUAUACACUAUAUGUAUUUAAAGUAUACAAUGUCAUAAGUUUUAACAUGUAUACACCUGUGAAAUCAUCCCCAUAAUCAACCUAGUUACCGUACCCGUACCUCCCAAAAUUUCCCUUGUAUCGUUUUGUAAUCCCUUUUCCUGUCCCCAGGCAAUCACUGUUUAUUCUCUGCCUCUACCGAUUAGCUUGCAUUUUCUAGAAUUUCAUGUAAAUGGAAUCAUACGGUAUGCACCCUUUUUUGGCUUCUUUCAUUCAGCAUUAUUUUGAGAUUCAUCCAUGUUGUUGAGCGGACCAGUUGCUCAGUUCUCUUCCAUUGUUGAGGGUAUCACUUGCUCAGUAGAUAGACCACAAUUAGUUAUCCAUUCACUUACCAAUGAGCAUUUGGGAUGUUUCUAGUUUUGAAGUAUUAGAAAUAAAACUUCUGUGAACAUUUGUGAACA
ensembl:lncRNA